GAUGAACGCUGGCGGCGUGCCUAAUACAUGCAAGUCGAGCGAACAGACGAGGAGCUUGCUCCUCUGACGUUAGCGGCGGACGAGUGAGUAACACGUGGAUAACCUACCUAUAAGACUGGGAUAACUUCGGGAAACCGGAGCUAAUACCGGAUAAUAUAUUGAACCGCAUGGUUCAAUAGUGAAAGACGGUUUUGCUGUCACUUAUAGAUGGAUCCGCGCCGCAUUAGCUAGUUGGUAAGGUAACGGCUUACCAAGGCAACGAUGCGUAGCCGACCUGAGAGGGUGAUCGGCCACACUGGAACUGAGACACGGUCCAGACUCCUACGGGAGGCAGCAGUAGGGAAUCUUCCGCAAAGGGCGAAAGCCUGACGGAGCAACGCCGCGUGAGUGAUGAAGGUCUUCGGAUCGUAAAACUCUGUUAUUAGGGAAGAACAAAUGUGUAAGUAACUAUGCACGUCUUGACGGUACCUAAUCAGAAAGCCACGGCUAACUACGUG
rnacentral:rRNA from 1 species